CCUACGGGAGGCAGCAGUGAGGAAUAUUGGUCAAUGGACGAGAGUCUGAACCAGCCAAGUAGCGUGAAGGAUGACUGCCCUAUGGGUUGUAAACUUCUUUUAUAUGGGAAUAAAACGUUCCACGUGUGGCUUUUUGCAUGUACUUUAUGAAUAAGGAUCGGCUAACUCCGUGCCAGCAGCCGCGGUAAUACGGAGGAUCCGAGCGUUAUCCGGAUUUAUUGGGUUUAAAGGGAGCGUAGGUGGUUUGUUAAGUCAGUUGUGAAAGUUUGCGGCUCAACCGUAAAAUUGCAAUUGAUACUGGCAGUCUUGAGUACAGUUGAGGUAGGCGGAAUGCGUGGUGUAGCGGUGAAAUGCUUAGAGAUCACGAAGAACCCCGAUUGCGAAGGCAGCUUACUAAACUGUGACUGACACUGAUGCUCGAAAGUGUGGGUAUCAAACAGGAUUAGAUACCCGAGUAGUC
rnacentral:rRNA from 1 species